rnacentral:rRNA from 1 species
AUCAACCGAGAUUCCCCCAGUAGCGGCGAGCGAACGGGGAGCAGCCCGGAGUCUGAAUCAGCUUGUGUGUUAGUGGAAGCGUCUGGAAAGUCGCAGGGUACAGGGUGAUACUCCCGUACACUAAAACACACAGGCUGUGAACUCGAAGAGUAGGGCGGGACACGUGGUAUCCUGUCUGAAUAUGGGGGGACCAUCCUCCAAGGCUAAAUACUCCUGACUGACCGAUAGUGAACCAGUACCGUGAGGGAAAGGC